rnacentral:rRNA from 1 species
UUGACAUCCAGAGAAUUUAGCAGAGAUGCUUUAGUGCCUUCGGGAACUCUGAGACAGGUGCUGCAUGGCUGUCGUCAGCUCGUGUUGUGAAAUGUUGGGUUAAGUCCGCAACGAGCGCAACCCUUAUCCUUUGUUGCCAGCACGUAAUGGUGGGAACUCAAAGGAGACUACCGGUGAUAAACCGGAGGAAGGUGGGGAUGACGUCAAGUCAUCAUGGCCCUUACGAGUAGGGCUACACACGUGCUACAAUGGCGCAUACAAAGAGAAGCGACCUCGCGAGAGCAAGCGGACCUCAUAAAGUGCGUCGUAGUCCGGAUUGGAGUCUGCAACUCGACUCCAUGAAGUCGGAAUCGCUAGUAAUCGUAAAUCAGAAUGUUACGGUGAAUACGUUCCCGGGCCUUGUACACACCGCCCGUCACACCAUGGGAGUGGGUUGCAAAAGAAGUAGAUAGCUUAACCUUCGGGAGGGCGUUUACCACUUUGUGAUUCAUGACUGGGGUGAAGUCGUAACAAGGUAAGCGUAGUGCU